UCUGCCUUGCCCAGCUAAGCUAUCGAUUCAGCAAGAGGGAGAGAAAUGGGGAGCCCGCUUCCUUCCCCCCAAAGGGAAGCAAGAAGUGCAGACCCCAGGUAAGCGACACUCAAGGGAUCGGAGCUGGUCUUCCCCAACAGGCUCUAGAAUGUUCUCCCACUCUGGCCCAUGCAACAACACGGACCAGCUGUGUGAUCUGAGGCAAGUGGCCAACCCUCUCUGAGCCUGUUCUCUUGUACAUAGAAAAAUGGAUAAAAAUUGGCCUCUCUGGUACAGCCUUGUUCCCCUCCUCUCUCGCCUAAAAUUCCUUUCCAUGUAUGUCACCAAGGACUUUAGCACCCAAGGAGGAGAAUGUUGUCCCCAGAAUCUGACAUGGAAGAAUUUGAGGUCACCUGUCAAAGAAGGUAAGAAGACCCCGAGCAGAAGAAACAGAUCUUUCGAAUGCUGGCCAUCCCGGGCUGCUGGGCUGGACCGAGCUAAGGAAGGAGGCUGCUUCUCCAUCUGUGGCCUCUACCCGAGUCUGUGCAUACUGGCUCCCCGAGGUGAUCCAGGCCUGCCCGGGCUCCACGACAUGCCAAAGGUACCCCUGUCACAGCAGUCCCCACAGCUGUACCCUGCAGAAACACUAAUUGGAAAGUGAGACAAGCGAAAUGCCUUUAAUGAGCUACCUUGUUGUAACUCUAACUCGUCGGCGUUAUUUACAGAGAUUCUGCUAAUGAGGUGCCUGUCACAGGGGGACCAGGGUGGGGGCGGGGACAAGGGACGCCCCGAGCCAGCCGCCAGGGAAGGAGCCACAUCCCAAGGGAAGAGGGACAGGAUGCGCUCACCUUCGGGGGAGAAGCCCUCCAUCCAUGUCCCCCCACCCCGGCCAGGGUUCAGACACCCCUUCUCCACUGCAAUGGCCCAAGCUCUGAGCCCUGUCCCCAACAGGAGAGGGGUUCAGUCCAUCCACCCAUCUCAGGUCCCCUGGGAAGGAUCUGGCCA